AAUUGUGUCGUCUCUAUCAAAAUUCAGAUUUACUCAAAAUCCAAAUUUUCUCCCUCACGCUAUAUGUUCUCUCUCCCUCCCUCUCUGCCGUUUCCUUCUCCCAAAUUUCUCCGGCGAACGUCGCCGGUUCUCGUCGCCUCCGGCGCGGCGAGGCUGGCGUCUCUCUCCCCUCCUCCUUUCUUUCUUUUUUCUUUCCCUUAAUUUAAAUUAGUAACUACCUAGGGUUUUUAAAUCUUGUUCAAUCCUGUUCUCCGACGAGUUCCGCCGCGCCGCCGCCGUGCUCGUCGCAUCGCCACUCCUCCAUCUCAGAUCUGGGAAUUUCGUUUCCAACGCUCCACCCACCGCCGUCCAGCAACUCGUCCCGCCUCCCCACCGUCGAUCCACUGCUGCGCCUGGCCUCGCCGUCGCCGUCGAUUGCAGCGCCUGGCCUCGCCGCGCUGCUGCGCCUCUCCUCGCUGCGCCGUGUAUUGCUGCUCCUCGCCUCGCCGCACUGCCGAUUGCUGCGGUGAUGUACAGAUCUCAAAGUCACAAGAUAUGGAGAUACUGUUGAAGCUAUGGCUGUACAUUGUUCAUCUUUGAAAUGUUUACUAGAGCUAGAUGAGUUUGUUGCACCCAAAGGUUUGGAUAAGUUGAUAGGAGAGAGUCGCUUGAAUUACAAUAACUGUGAAGGACAAGCUCCAGAAAGUUGGUGGCUGGCUGUAGCGAGCUAAUCUUGCUCACUGUGGCAGUAUAUUGAAUUACAAUAACUGCAGGAUGCAAGUGAAAGUAAACUGGAUUAUCAAAUAAAUAAGCUGUGGUUGCCUCAAUCAAAAUAAAGUGGGGGUAAACAUGAUAUCAAUCAAUUAAUUGAGUAAUACUCUCUAUAUAAAUAAGCUGUGGUUGCCUCAAUUUUGAUAGUUUCAAAAGGCUUAUAGAUUCAUAUUUACUAGUUCAAAGUAUAGAGUCUCUCUUCUGUUCCAGGCUUUCAGCACUUAAUUUAUUUAAGGGAUAUUCAUUUUUAUGAUUAAUGAGAAUGGAUUAUCUUAAAAAGGAAAUCUGAAAUGUCCAAAAGUGAAUGGCUGGAAUUGAUUCAAUUUUUUAUGAGGUCAUUAUGCCAUUUUCUUCUUGUCGUUAGAUUAAACUUUCUUUUUCUAAGUUGUACUUACUCUAUUUGCUAUAGUUACAUAUCUUUCUCAAUUCCUGAAUCUAAUUUUGUUGCUAUGUAUUUGGGAUUUAUUUUAGAUAUCUGUUUAAAGUCAGUAUUUUAGUCUUCAAGUAUUCUCCUAGUCAUUUUAUGUCUGUUCGUGCACGAAUUUACAUUUGAAUUUGAUCAUGGAGUGGCUGCUUUGACUUGCAGAAUUCCCCAUUCUACAAUAACCGUAACCUAUUGGCAAAAGCUAAAGUACUUGCAGCAAAAAAGGAUAUCGAUGCUGUGAAGGAGCUUUCAAAUUCAGAGUUCUAGUCAUGCUUAUCAUCUUCUUCAAAGUUAUGCCUCCGUUCAGUAUGUAUCUAUAGUUUCGUUGUUUUGAUGUGCUUGGUUGCUGUUGGUUUUCAAUUUUUACCCAGUAGUUUGAUUGUGUCAGUGAUCUAGUAUCUCGGGAUUUGAACACGACGUAGUUGAUUUUAAGCUCUGCGCGGCGCUGCAACAUUGAAGGCGAGGGUGUUGAAGGAAGUUUGGAACAUCGCAUCCGUCAUCCCGUGGAUAAGGUUAUGGGUGGUGGCAGCAGUGGAAGAAAUGGGAGUUUGAGUGGAAGCCACAGUGGUGAGCUUGUAGUGGAAGAGAAUUUUCUUGGCAUUUGCAGAUGGUGUAACUUUGACACUCAAGUAACCUCAUUUGUUUGUUUUGACUCACAUGUAUUAUGAUCAACAAUAUUUUAUUGGAUUUGAUGUAGGAUGUUUGUAUGAUGGAUACUUUUUCAAUGUAGGAUGAUAACUAACUUUGAAACUAAUGAAUGACCUUUUUAUUA